rnacentral:rRNA from 1 species
GGAUUAGAUACCCUGGUAGUCCACGCUGUAAACGAUGUCGACUAGCCGUUGGGCUCAUUUAAGGGUUUAGUGGCGCAGCUAACGCGAUAAGUCGACCGCCUGGGGAGUACGGCCGCAAGGUUAAAACUCAAAUGAAUUGACGGGGGCCCGCACAAGCGGUGGAGCAUGUGGUUUAAUUCGAAGCAACGCGAAGAACCUUACCAGGUCUUGACAUUGACAGAAUCCUGUAGAGAUACGGGAGUGCUUCGGCCUGGAAAACAGGUGCUGCAUGGCUGUCGUCAGCUCGUGUCG